rnacentral:lncRNA from 1 species
CAGGUGUUGUGGCGCACACCUGUAAUCCCAGCUACUCAGGAGCCUGAGGUGGGAGGACUGUUUGAGCCCAGAGAGGCCAAGUCUGCAGUGAGCCAUGACUGUGCCACUGCAUUCCAGCCUGGGUGACACAGCGAGACCCUGUCUCAAAAAAAAAAAAAACCAAAAACUGAAUUCACUCAACAGUGUACGCCAGGCCAGAUGAGAAGGAUGAGAAGAUGGACAGCUCAUCUUCACUGGAGGUAGAACAGAGAACAACCAUGAACAACAGCCUUUGGAACAUGUGCCUGAGUGAGGGUAUUUCCGGGAGGGUCUGGCCCAACUGGGUGCUUCCUUUCCCAUCUCUGCCCCUGAAGAUCCCCUUAGUCUUCCUGCCUCCUUCUGCUUCUCUUGCCCUUUCUUAAGUUCUUCUGAUCUCUUCAUUCUCUUUACAAUUGAAAAGCUAUUAAAAUCUACCAGUAAGCAAGAUAUUUCAGAAUUCUCCAUAACCCAUCACUCAUAGUCCUUAAUCUUUAUGAUUAAGUCACUUAAUCUUUAUGAGGAGAACUUGAAAAACCUAUUUAUUCACACUCUUCAGGAGGAAUGAAGAGACAGAAAACAAAAACACGGAAGUAGAGAUUUCUCUGACUAGUUGGAUAUAAGCUUUUAUUGAGUUUUACAAAAAAGGUAUCUUUCCCAUCUCUGCCUUCUUUCAGUGCCAUGUCAACACCCCCUCAUUUAAAAAUGUGAUAAACUUUAAAUAAGACAAUUAGAAAAAAAUGACAAUAUUACAAAUGGUAAAAACUUAUGAUACUUCAUAUACACAUGACAGACACUGGAUAGUAUGUUUCUAUAUUUAAAAUUAUAUACAUAUAUAAUUAUAUGUUAUAUGUCCAAGUUAAUCAUAUAUAUGUAUGUUCCAGGUAUCCUGGACUCAAACUGAUGUAUAUGGCAGGAAUGUAAAGCUGAAAUAUAUAAACGGUUCUUUUAUAUCAUUUUUCUUCCCACUGCAAAUUCUAGUAGUUAAAUGUUACAUUAACUCAUUCAAUGCCAGGAUUAAAUCAUUGGAUGUCAUAGAAACAAUGUAUGAUUCUGGACAGGAUCCUUUUGCUAUAUAAAAGCAGUCCCCAACCUUUGUGGCACCAGGGACCAGGUACCGGUUUCAUGGAAGUUUUUCCACAGACCAGAUGGUGAGGAAUGGGGGAUCAUCAGGCUUUAGAUUCUCAUAAGGAGUGCACAACCUAGAUCCCUUGCAUGGGCAGUUCACAAUAGGGUUCACACUCACAUGAGAAUCUAAUGCCGCUGCUGAUCUGGCCGGAGGCAGAGCUUAAGCAGUAAUGUGAGCAAUGGGGAGUGACCAUAAAUACAGAAGAAGCUUCUUAACUGGUACCCAGGGGUUGGGGAAACCUGCUAUAUAAGACAUUUCUUGGGCAGCUAAUGAACCUUGACUGGAAUCUGUGGAUUAGUGGCAGUAAUGUAUCAAUGUUAAUUUCCUGAUUUUUAUGGUUGUAAUUAUGUGGUUAUUUCUCAUUUGAGGAAAUAAAGGGUGAGCUGGUAUCAUGUCAACAACUUCUGGGAAAAAAUUUCUUUGUAGUGUUUUUAUAACUUUUCUGUAUGCUUAAGGUUUUUUCCAAAUAAAAAGCUUUUUGAAAACCAAAAUAGGCUGAGAACAGUGGCUCAUGCUUGUCCCAGCACUUUGGGAGGCUGAGGCAGGCAGAUCGCUUGAGCCCAGGAGACAGAGAUUGCCAAGAUGGCGCCACUGCACUCCAGCCUGGGUGAGAUAGUGAGACCCUGUCUCAAAACAAAAACAAAAGCAAAAAAAAAAAAAAAAAAACCCACAAAAACCAGAACCCAAAUAGUGAAGAGGUAUAAAGACUUAAAAGUUCUUGUGUUUUCCAUGAACUACCUCAGUACAUUUUUGGAACUAUCAAAUAAGAAAUUCUUUUUUUCCCGGGCCAGUCGUGGUGGCUCAUGCCUAUAAUCCCAGCACUUUGGGUGGCCGAGGCCGGUGUAUCACCUGAGGUCAGGAGUUCAAGAGCAGCCUGG